rnacentral:rRNA from 1 species
GAUGAACGCUGGCGGCGCGCCUAACACAUGCAAGUCGAACGAUUAAAGCACCUUCGGGUGGGUAUAAAGUGGCGAACGGCUGAGUAACACGUGGGCAACCUUCCCCUUUCAUUGGGGUAGCCACGGGAAACCGUGGAUAAUACCGAAUACUUCGAGACUUCCGCAUGGAAGACUCGAGAAAGCGCCGGCGGAGAGGGAUGGGCCCGCGGCCUGUUAGCUUGUUGGUGGGGUAACGGCCUACCAAGCCAAUGAUGGGUAGCUGGGUUGAGAGACCGACCAGCCAGAUUGGGACUGAGACACGGCCCAGACUCCUACGGGAGGCAGCAGUGGGGAAUCUUGCACAAUGGGCGAAAGCCUGAUGCAGCGACGCCGCGUGCGGGAUGACGGCCUUCGGGUUGUAAACCGAUUUCAGCAGGGACGAGGCGCAAGUGACGGUACCUGCAGAAGAAGCCCCGGCUAACUACGUG